rnacentral:rRNA from 1 species
UGCGUAGGCGGGUUUCUAAGUCAGAGGUGAAAGCCUGGAGCUCAACUCCAGAACUGCCUUUGAUACUGGAAGUCUUGAGUAUGGCAGAGGUGAGUGGAACUGCGAGUGUAGAGGUGAAAUUCGUAGAUAUUCGCAAGAACACCAGUGGCGAAGGCGACUCACUGGGCCAUUACUGACGCUGAGGCGCGAAAGUGUGGGAGCAAACA